rnacentral:rRNA from 1 species
GACGAACCGUGCGAACGUUAUUCGGAAUCACUGGGCUUAAAGGGCGCGUAGGCGGAUUUGCAAGUCUGUGGUGAAAUCCUCCAGCUUAACUGGAGAAGUGCCAUGGAUACUGCGAGUCUCGAGGAAGGUAGGGGCAUCUGGAACUGCCGGUGGAGCGGUGAAAUGCGUUGAUAUCGGCAGGAACUCCGGUGGCGAAGGCGGGUCUCUGGGCAGUAACUGACGCCGAGGAGCGAAAGCGUGGGGAGCGAACAGG